rnacentral:lncRNA from 1 species
AGAAUUGAACUUGGUACCAAGUAGUUAACGUAAAUGCUUUAUUGCAGGGGUCGGCAACCUUUUCUGGAUGAUGGGCCAUUUUCAAAAAAACUUUUAAGCAGGCCGCACAGUCAUGCUUUUUUAUUCUUAAGCGGACCACACAAUGUUGUUCUCCGAACAACAUUGUGCAGUCCACUUAAAAAGAAAAAAUUCAGAGAACAAAAAAAGUUCCAGGGAUAGGGUAAAUAUUCAAAGGAGAAUCCUAGUCUCACUUCUAUGUGAACAUUUGUCAACCAGUCGUUUAUUGCCGAUUGAUGGUGAUAGUAGCCGAAUUCUCGCAAUCUGUAAAAAAAUAAUAAUAAUCAAUCAAUAAAUAUUUCAUAAUAUAACAAAUAAUAAUAAUAAAAAAUAGCCUUCCUAAUUUUUACUUUACCAUAUUAU